AACUUUUAACAACGGAUCACUUGGCUCUCGCAUCGAUGAAGAACGCAGCGAAAUGCGAUAAGUAAUGCGAAUUGCAGAAUUCCAGUGAGUCAUCGAAUCUUUGAACGCACAUUGCGCCCUUUGGUAUUCCGAAGGGCAUGCCUGUUCGAGCGUCAUUAUCACCCCUCAGGCCCCUCGGCUUGGUGUUGGACGGUUUGGCGGAGACCCUUUAAGGUUCCCUCCCGUCCCAAAGACAAUGACGGCGGCCUCGUAGGACCCCCGGUACACUGAGUUCUUCACGGAACACGUACUGGAUUAAGGGUGCGCGAAGCACGGUCUUAUCUCCCCCUCGCGGGAGCACUUUUAUUUACAAGGUUGACCUCGGAUCAGGUAGGGAUACCCGCUGAACUUAAGCAUAUCAAUAAGCGGAGGCU
rnacentral:misc_RNA from 1 species